GAUGAAGAACGCAGCGAAAUGCGAUAAGUAAUGUGAAUUGCAGAAUUCAGUGAAUCAUCGAAUCUUUGAACGCACAUUGCGCCCGCCAGUAUUCUGGCGGGCAUGCCUGUUCGAGCUUCAUUUCAACCCUCAAGCCCCCGGGCUUGGUGUUGGGGAUCGGCGUGCCCUCGCGGCGCGCCGUCCCCUAAAUCUAGUGGCGGUCUCGCUGUAGCUUCCUCUGCGUAGUAGCAACACUCGCACUGGAUCGCAGCGCGGCCACGCCGUUAAACCCCCCACUUCUGAAAGUUUGACCUCGGAUCAGGUAGGAAUACCCGCUGAACUUAAGCAUAUCAAUAAGCGGAGGA
rnacentral:misc_RNA from 1 species